rnacentral:rRNA from 1 species
GUAGUCAUAUGCUUGUCUCAAAGAUUAAGCCAUGCAUGUCUAAGUAUAAGCAAUUUGUACUGUGAAACUGCGAAUGGCUCAUUAAAUCAGUUAUCGUUUAUUUGAUAGUACCUUACUACAUGGAUACCUGUGGUAAUUCUAGAGCUAAUACAUGCUAAAAACCCCAACUUCGGAAGGGGUGUAUUUAUUAGAUAAAAAACCAAUGCCCUUCGGGGCACCUUGGUGAAUCAUAAUAACUUAGCGAAUCGCAUGGCCUUGCGCCGGCGAUGGUUCAUUCAAAUUUCUGCCCUAUCAACUUUCGAUGGUAGGAUAGUGGCCUACCAUGGUGGCAACGGGUAACGGGGAAU